rnacentral:rRNA from 1 species
GAGUUUUGACGUGGCUCAGAUUGAACGCUGGCGGUAUGCUUAACACAUGCAAGUCGAACGGUAACAGGCUAGCUUGCUAGCGCUGACGAGUGGCGGACGGGUGCGUAACGCGUAGGAAUCUGCCUAUUAGUGGGGGGACAACCUGGUGAAAACCAGGCUAAUACCGCAUACGCCCUACGGGGAAAGCAGGGGAUCUUCGGACCUUGCGCUAAUAGAUGAGCCUGCGUUAGAUUAGCUUGUUGGUGAGGUAAUGGCUCACCAAGGCGACGAUCUAUAGCUGGUCUGAGAGGACGAUCAGCCACACUGGGACUGAGACACGGCCCAGACUCCUACGGGAGGCAGCAGUGGGGAAUAUUGGCAAUGGGCGAAGCCUGAUCCAGCAAUACCGCGUGUGUGAAGAAGGCCUGAGGGUUGU